GACGAACGCUGGCGGCGUGCUUAACACAUGCAAGUCGAGCGGUAAGGCCCUUCGGGGUCCACGAGCGGCGAACGGGUGAGUAACACGUGAGUAAUCUGCCCAUCACUUCGGGAUAACUCCGGGAAACCGGUGCUAAUACCGAAUAUGACCACUUCAGGCAUCUGAUGGUGGUGGAAAGUUCCGGCGGUGACGGAUGAGCUCGCGGCCUAUCAGCUUGUUGGUGGGGUAGUGGCCUACCAAGGCUUCGACGGGUAGCCGGCCUGAGAGGGUGACCGGCCACACUGGGACUGAGACACGGCCCAGACUCCUACGGGAGGCAGCAGUGGGGAAUAUUGGACAAUGGGCGAAAGCCUGAUCCAGCAACGCCGCGUGAGGGAUGACGGCCUUCGGGUUGUAAACCUCUUUCAGCAGGGACGAAGCGCAAGUGACGGUACCUGCAGAAGAAGCACCGGCCAACUACGUG
rnacentral:rRNA from 1 species